GGGGAUGUGGCGGAACUGGCAGACGCAGCAGACUCAAAAUCUGCCGAUUGAGAGAUCGUAAGGGUUCGAUUCCCUUCAUCCCCACCA
rnacentral:tRNA from 1 species